GCUGGUGUUCGGGUUGUCAUGCCAAUGGCAUUGCCCGGUAGCUACGUUCGGAACUGAUAAGCGCUGAAAGCAUCUAAGCGCGAAGCAGGCCUCGAGAUGAGUUCUCACUAGAGCUAUAAGCUCUCUGAAGGGCCGUUGGAGACUACAACGUUGAUAGGCAAGGUGUGGAAGCAUAGUGAUAUGUUAAGCUAACUUGUACUAAUUACCCGUGAGGCUUAACCAUACAACGCCAAACGCGUUU
rnacentral:rRNA from 1 species